CAGAAUGCUCAGCGCCACCGCAGCAAGGACACGAACGACGCGUGAGGCGUGACGUAUUCUGGGAUUUGUAGUCCGGGGAACCUGCGGGUGUGAGCGACUCCUGGAACAAAGGAAGCGGGAUUGUCCUCCUCGGGCGUCCCCUCAGCUUGCAGAGGGUCUCAGAGCCGGUCACCAGGAUGGUAGGGGCCGCAGGUGGCGGGAGAAGCGUUCAAUAAAUACGGCGUUCCUGGCGUGGUCGGUCAUAAAGAACAGAGGACAGCCCUGCCCUUCCGAAGCUCGCGCUGCACGGAGGCAGAGGGACAAACGCGAAAGAGAAAGGAAGGCGGGCAGAGGGCGGUCCUUCGGGGUGGGUGGCCCCGCGAGGACGCCCCGAGGGCAGAGGGUGAACAGAGCAGAGAUCCAGAGGAGAAAGAAAAGAUCGGGAAAAGAUACUGAGAAGCCACAACCAGGGAAAUAGAAAAACCCAAAGCCUGUGGCAUCCUGGAAACACAGUGUAAACCGGUGACUGAAGAAGGCAUCAACUCUAUGGCAUGUUGCAUUUACCAAUGUGAGGUCAGUAAUGACCUUACAGUAACAGCUCUGGGUGAUUGGGAUGGACAGCCUGACGAGAGGGGGCUCAUUCUUUAUUCUUUCAAUAGCUGCUCUCAUUAAAAUCACACUAGCAAUUUAAACAUUGAAAUUUGAAUGUCAAGAAUUGUUGACUAGGAUUGCUGGGUAGUGAAGGGCUAAAAGCUCCUGCUGCCUUGGCCCCUCCAAAUGCUCCUGCAGCCCAGAUUUGUAGUCUCCAUGGCCUGACCUCAACUGCCCUCUCUUCUGUGUCAAAUGCCUUUUCAAAUGACAUCAGGUGAGCCUUUGUGACUUAGGCCUCAGAGGUCACAUCUGGAAGUUAGUAAGGAGGAUGGGGGCAAUUCCUGGCCUCAGGUUCCUGAGCUGCCUGCCUAAUUAAGUCAAUGCCUGUGUGGCACACAGGGCAAACAAGGUCCCCAAGUCUCCUAGGCACAGCAGGAAGGGGCUAAGACCAUUUUUCUAUGAAAGAAAUGCCCCCAGACCACCACAAACAACCAUUUCCAGGCCUACAAAGAGCACUCUGUCCACCCUCCCAGACCUGGACUCUCUGGAAAGGGUCCCAGGGAAGAGCUGCCCUUGGAAAACCUGUCCCUUCCCUCUAAGUGUGUGGGGCAAGGAAGAGUCUAUGUGAAAGGGGAAUCUUCACAGGCAACCCAGGAUGGGUCGGGUGAGGUGAUGGGAGCAUGGGCAUGUUGGGGGGGGUAGCUGUAUAGACUGUGUGCAUAACCUCUGGGUGGGGCAGGGUCUAUGUGGACCGAGUGUGGUGGGGCAAGAAUGUCUGUGUGUGUGAAGGGAUGCCAUGUACGCACAGCCAUGUAUAAGAAUGUAUUUGUGUGUGCAAGGUCAGCGUGACUGACACUGGGCAGGGCAGUAGGCUAUGCAGGUAAUUUUAUUUACUAAGAAAUGACAGUGUGGAGGUGUCCUCGUGUGGCUGGGGGAAGAGUCUUUACAUGCUACCCUGAAUUGAGGGACUGCCCAUGUGUGAUGGUUAGGAAGCAGUCUGUGCUUUUCCAUAAGAAGGGAGGAGUCUUGGGGUGGUACCAAGUUAACAGAAGCCCCAAGAAAGUGACUUAGUAUCUGGGGUACCAUGGAGAUCAGAUGGGAGGAACACUAUGGAGCUCUCCUGGCCUGGGGUCCUAAGCUGUAACUGGGCAAAGCCCCUUUAGGGCUCCUGCAGACUGGUCUUCUGCUCACCUUCAGGGUUUCAUCCUGCUCCUCAAGCUGUACUGCACCGGGAACCAUGCUCCUCUGCACGCCCUGUAAGGAGAAGAGAGUGGGCCUCCCAGCGGAGGGAGGAGUGGGUUAGUGGGAGCCAACAACCCCUUCUCGGGUGUCUGGCUGGCUCAGUGGUGGACCAUGUGACUCUUGAUCUUGGGGUUGUGAGUUCCAGCCCCACACUGGGCAUAGAUCUUGCAAAGAAGAUCAAUAUGAAGGAAGUGACAAAAGAAUAGGAAUAUUUGACAGAUUCUUUUAUUGAAGAUUUUAUUUAUUUGAGAGGGAGCACAAGCAGGGGGAGGGUCAGAGGCAAUGGGAGAAGUAGGCUCCUCACUGAGAAGGGACCCCGAUGCAAGGGCUUGACCCCAGGACCCCGAGAUCAUGACCUGAGCCAAAAGCAGACCCGUAACUGACUGAGCCACCCAGGCACCCCUAUUUGACAGAUUCUUACAGUGAAAAUAAUGUAGGUACACUGAUAAAAACAGCUCAAUGUACUUGAAACAAAAUCAUGUUAAUCAAGUUUUUAGCCGCUUGAAAGUGAAACAUUUGAGGUAUUCUCUAUACAUGAGGAAAUAUCAACAAAACAAAGAUGAUGACUAAGAUUUAUAUUAUUCAAUAAAGUUUGGAAAGUUCUCAUCAAUGCAAUAAAAAAGUUAAAGAUUUGGAAAAAAAAAAAAAAAGCAGCAACCCCUUCUCACCUGAGUAUGGAAAGUCAGUCAGGUUCACCCUUUGAAAGGCAAAGCUGGUUUGCAGGAAAUGGUGCUGCAUGUGGUUGACUCCAGAUGUAUAUGGGCUGCUGAGUGUUUACUGUAUUCAUUUGCCAGGCUGC
rnacentral:lncRNA from 1 species